UUAAAAAAUAUAUAUAUAUAUAAACUAAACUAAAAAUUAAAUAAAGUGAUGAAAAUAAAAAUAAAAAAGUAAGACGAUGUAACUCUUUAGAACUAUUAGAUCAUUCACUUUUUUCAUUUCUUUUCUUUUUUCACGAAAUUCUUGAUCUAAACAUAGCAUAAAACACCUCCAAACUUCAACUUCAUCAAUUGCAAAUCCAUGUGAGGACAUACUCAAAGCAGAGGUCAAGUUCGAAACUGGCCUUAGCUAUGCCUCUUUUUGUAUAUUUCCUUGAUAAUAUCUGAAUCUGUGUGUGGUAUUUAAAAUGCAUUCCCUGAAUCUCUAUAGUAAGGUUUUAAAAUUUUAUUGCUAUUUCCAUAAUUGAAACUCAGUGACAGUAAGUAUAUAUAUCACUUCACUUCAAGAAAGUGAAGUGAUACCGUCUUAUUUGAAUGUAAUAUUUAAUAUUCAAAAUUUAUUAACUUUUAUGUGUAUGUGAGGUCCAUUAUAUCUAUAUUCUAGUUUUUAAUAGAUGGUGAUAUCGCAUGUAGAGAUGGCAAUCUCCGCUCCACCCUGCCUCCACCCUAAUUGAGGCGAAUAUCCACAUACUUUUAGGAAAUGGAGUGAGGAUAAAGAAAAAUGUGAACAUGUCGAGGGAUCAUUAUGCAUACCUCCAUUCCAAAUCUCUUCUUUGAAUGAUAAGAAGCACAAUCACUUAAACUAGGCUAAAGUCUAAUUCAAACAUAGCCUUAACAACUCCAUAUUAUAGAAACAAAAACUAAGUAAUAGUGAACUUAAAAAUUGGGCGUAUCCCAAUUUGUAUUACUAUUUUUUUCCUAGCUUCUUAUUUGCACCUCACAAUUAAAAAAUCUAUAAUCUGUUGAAAGAAACUGCACUAGUAAAUGAUAUGGUUAGAAGUUACAGGAUCUAAAGGUUCGAGAUGAUUGAAUCAUCUAACGUUUCUAAUGUCAGAGUCAAGAGUAAAUGGGUCAAAAAGAGAUUUCUGUAAAAGCACAACGCAAGGUGUAAUUACCCAAAAAUAAUACUGAGUCAACACAAGUGAGUCAAAAGCCGAGUGAACGAACAACGCAAAGUGUCAGAAACGCACCUUGGAUGUGGAGAGCCUUUGUUUUGAAUCUUUGAUGGGUUGUGACCGUUCAUAGAGCCGCACUUCCUCUUCCCCUACGACGAAGGCCGCGGCGGCCGACCACUCCCUGCCGACGCCGACGACGACAACGAAUUCGCCGCUGAUUUUUUGAGGAAGCGGAAGUAAACAAUAAACCCUAGAAAUCGAAUCCGUUUUUUUUUAAUGGUCCGAUUCUGAUCCAACAGCUCUGAUUCUCUGAUUUUCUCUUGUUAAGAAUCUCUUGUUAAGAAAUCAUAGGGUCCUCUUCUGAAGCGAGCGUGGCCGAUUUUGGUCCGAUUGAUCAUAGUGAAAAAACAUGGCCCUAGUCAUAAUGGGUCCCGCAUAAUAAUGGGUCCCAAAGUCAACAAGGAUCAUGACUAUAUUUAGCCUGGUAAUGCUUAAAAGCAAAUUUUUUUUUUAGUUUGCUACUAAAAAAUUUAAAAAAUUUAAAAAAUUUAGAUUUUUUUGCUUUCAUAUAUUUACUUUAGCUAAAAAAAAUUAAAAAAAUCAACUCUAGUGGUUUUUUUGCUUAUAAGCUUAACGUCUUGUCAGGGCAAAUGUUUUUUUUGAAUUUUUUUAAUAGUCUUAACUUUUGAUUUUUUUUUAUUUUAAAUAAUUUUUUUAAUUAUUUUAUUAAAAUUUUAUAUUUUAUCGAUUCUUCUGUGGAUGGAAAUCCAAAAAUAUAAAUAAUUUUAUAUAAUUUAUAAAAAAACUCACUAAAGAUAAAAAAUUAUUUUUUAGAUUUUUUUGAAUGAAAUUAUUAUUUUUGGCCUUUUGUAUUUUUUUUCAAAUUAGAUGAAUAUUUUUAUAUUUUUAGACUAUAAUCAAGAUCAAAUGGAAAAAAGAGUUAACUAAAAUACCAAAAAACAGAGUCGGCAGAGAUUUGUAAAAGAAAAAAAAUAUUAAACUUGAAUCGUUAGAUUCGUUGACUUUUCUUUUUUUUUUUCUCUACCAAAUCAUAAAUCCAAAUAUAGCCUUGAACAAUUUAAGAUUGUAUUUCAAUAAAAAAAUUGGUAAGAUUUGUUAAGGAAAAUGAAAAAUUAAAAAAAAGAAAAUGCUACACAUCAUCCAAAGAACGGUGAUUUUUUUUUAAUAGGAAAGAAAUAUAUUGAUAAUUAUGAAAAUUGUAUAUAAAUUUAUAAAUAUUCGUAUUAACUACCGCUCAAUAAAUCUAACAAGCGAUGAUUGAGAGUGAAGUCAUGUGUCCAAUUGUUUUUGGUUUCAAUUUAUAUUUAUAUUUAAUGGGGUAUGAGGCCCAUAACCCAUGCACGCGAGAUCUAUUAUGUAUAUUAUUAAUUGAAUGACGAUAUGGAAUAAAAUUGAAUGAUAAGAAUAAGUUUGUAGAUAGAUUGUCAUAUUUUAAGACAAUUUUGAUUUGUAAUCAUACUGCUAUAAAUAUUAAAUCAAUUUAACUUUUUUUUUAUAGACAAUCUAUGUUCAUAGACUUAAAAAAAUGAAUCGAUUGAGAUCCUGUUUUGGGUAUUUAUUUAUUUUAUCUUUUUAUGUUAGUAAAUUUUUUUCAUCGUUUUUUUAAAUUUUAAAUUUUUUUAGUUUAUUUUGACAAGAAUAGUCCGAAGAUAGAUUUUUUUUUUAUCUAAUUUGAUUUUUUUUUAUUAAAAACGAUUAUAUUUUUUGACUCCUUUUGUCAAUAAAAAUUAAAAAAAUAUAAAUUUUUAAUCAAACAAAAAAAUAAAUUCACUAUAAAUAAAAACUUGAAAAUAAAAAAAUAAAAAUAUCCAAACUUGAAUCGAUGAAUCUUUUAGUCAUCCAAACCGGACCGACAUAGCACAAAAAUCAAAUCUAUUUGGAUAAACUGCAGAAUUCACGUGUAUACUGAAAAUCAAAGGCUGACAGCCUCGUCAAUCAGCGCAUUAAAUUGGAAAAUUAUUCAGUGCUUUGAGCGCAAGUCCUAGUAGUGUUCUAACAUUAGAAUGAUUGAUCUAAAAUACUGAUAUUCAUUAACUUUUGUGUAUAAAUUGUAGUCGACAUGUGCAAAUGUAUCACUCAGUAAAUGAUGUAGAGCAAUACUCUAAGAGUAUCGAAUAAUCUCUCAUUAAAUUUGGAUCAGCUGGGCUUGAAUCUGAACCGAAGUCCAGUUACAAGCAUUCACGAGGUGAGCAUCUUUUGUGAAGAUAGACCCAUCAUCCAUCCCGACCCAAUAGUGGCCGCAAAAAGUUCUGGCCCGGCCCACCUUCAUAGCACGUCCAAUUCAGAUCAUUUGUCCAAAUCGUUCGACCGAUUAGCCUAGAUUAUUCGGCCCGUUUUUUGGCCCAACCCAUCCGAUCCUCCACACUUCUCCAGCGCCAAGAACUGUACCAUUGGACUAAACUCAUUCAUUAAUAAAAAUAUUAAAUUUUAAUAAAUAAAUACAUCGUCAAAUAAUAAAAAAGAGGAGAAUUUUUUAGGGACCAAUAUUUGAACCCGCAACCUCGACCCUCUGCACCUAGAACCAUACUACUAGGCCAAACACUCAAUUCAUUUAUAAAAAGGUUAUGUUUUAAUAGUAAACAAAUCGCCAAACAAUAACAAGAAAAGAAGAAUAUUUGAGAGAGCAAGAUUCGAACUCACAACCUCCCUCCCCUGCAGCUUGAACCAUACUACUGGACCAAACACUUAUUCAUUUAUAAAAAUUAGUAAUUGUCCGUACCCACGAGCACUAUGUAAAAAAAAAUAUUACUUCUUAAGCAUACUCGUUAGAGUUUUGCAACAUAAAAAAACACAUAAGAUAUAAAUGUCAGAUAAGAGAUUUAUUGUAUGCAUAUACGAAAGGAUACAUUACUAUAAAAUAGAAAAUAAAUUAAAAAGUAUAAUAAUUUUUAAAAAAAUAUUACUAAUUUGAGAGAAAUGAGAAGAAAAGAAAGGGGGUUUUAUUUUUUUUGUAUGUGGGUCCCACUAAAAAAAUAAUUCAAUCAGUGAAACAUAUGCCCACAUUUUUAGAAAUUCUUUGGCUAUUGAACCACAACCUAUAUGAGACCUAUAACUUUAUAAAGAAGAAAAUAAUAUUUUUUGGGGAGAAAAACUAGUCUCAUGUGAAAUUUCAGUCAUUGGAUUAACUAAAAUGGAUUUCAACCGUAAAUAGUGUUUGAUAGUUUGAAAGAUUCAAAAAUUAUUGUGUCUUAUAUUAUAGAUAUUAGAUUUUAAUAAUAAACACUCAUUUGUUUAUGAAAAUAUAUUUAACAUUAUUUAUCAAUAGGCAAUAAAUGAAAUUAAUCUUUUGACUCUUUUAUUUGUUUAGUCAAUCCUAAUUUAUUGUUUAAUAGAAAUAAAUUAUUGUUGUAAAUUAUUAAAAUAUAAUUUUUAUUUUUUAUUUUUUUUAAAUAAUAAAAAAUAUUUGUAAUAUUAAAAAAAUAAACAUAUAUGAAAGAUAUAACAUUACAUUAAUUACAAAAUGUAUCAGAACGUCGCUAAAAUUAAAUAAAAAAAGCAUUAAAAAAUUAAACUGGACUUGUCCAUCCUGAACCGGACCGUUACUAGAGCAGUCAAGCCCGUUAUUAUAACGGUCUAGUCUAAUAGACCGAUCUAGGCCAGGAGAAUGGCUAACGGUCUAGGCAAAAUUCAAACCGUUACUUAGCGAUCUAAACAAACCCUAAAUUAGGGGUGUCCAUGGUCCAAAUUGGUCCGAUUUCAUAAGAAUCCAGUAACCAAUCCAUAUUUAACGGUUCUAAAAAAAUAAGAACCAGAACCUAACCAUACAAGUAUAGAACCAAACCAAAACCGAUCCGCGAUUAUCGGUUCGGUUCCGGUUCAAUCCAAUUAAUAUUUUAAAUAUUUUAUAAAAUAUAAAAUUAUAACAAUUAUUUAUUUAAAUAACCCAUAACUUCCAUUAAUACUUUAAGUCAUGAAACAAAAAUAGUAUAAAAUAGUUCAUAGAUUGACUCCUUAAAUGAUAUUACAC
rnacentral:lncRNA from 1 species